ensembl:lncRNA
GAACAGUUAGUGUGAAGGUUCUGGAAAGGGACCUUGCGCCACGCUGUGUAGGAACUACUAAGCGUCGGUCGUUAACCGUUCGCAGAUUGCGUGAGGGAACGUACGCCUUCAGGAGAGAGUUGAGGUAGGAGGGAGCUGUUCCAGACAAGGUCUUGUAGGUGAGCAUCAAGGCCUUGAAUUUGAUGCGGGCGGAUACAGGAAGUCAGUGGAGGGAGAUGAAGACGGGUGUGACUUGGGUUCUCUCGGGCUGGUUGAAGACGAGGCGUGCUGCUGCAUUCUGAAUCAUCUGAAGGGGUUUGAUGGAGCUGCCGGGAGGCCCGAGAGUAGUGAGUUGCAGUAGUCCAGUUUUAAUAUGACAAGAGCCUGGACUAGUAUCUGUGUAGCCAACAUCGAAGAACAUCGUUAUCACCUAUGAUAAAAAAAAAUAGGUUGUGCUUUUGCAUAUGCAUGUGCUCGUCUUUUUAUUGUGUGUAUCUCUGCGAGAACAAAAAACUUCGAUGUCUUCUAUACAUAAGGCUUACAAACUUUUUUUAAGGCAGAGCUCCACCCAAUGAAAUGGUGGCCUUUCCAGCAGGCAGGAGCCCAGAACUCAGCCAAAUAAAAGUCUCUCCAGGGUACAAAAGAUCUUUGCACUGCUUUUACGUGAACUCCACCUAACAUUUCCCAUCGUCCGACAAAGUUCCAUGACAUCAAUGUUAAGAGUUCUUUACUGCUUGGAAAUUGGACAUUUUGCCAAAAUUCCUGAAGACCGGAGACAAGUCGAGUCGGGAAACGGGACUGAUUAGAAACACAGCAGAGACGGUGGCUUCCGCGCGUCUGCUCUCGCUAGAGAGAGAGAGAACUGAUUUUCAGUGUGCAGUAAUUUCACAGUGUCUCAGUACUUGAACAUGAAUGCACACCUUAUAUACUCACAAACAAAGCAAUGUAGACCGCAUCACUUUUAAAUUCUUGAUUUUGAUUGGUCAGAACGUCAGUGGGUCAUACUUAGCCAUUUCUGUAGUAAGAGCUUAUACAAGGACAUCAAAUCUAGAGUCACUCUAAUUGAGGGUCAGAGAAAGUAUACCAUGUAGAAAAAAGUCUGUGUUGGAAUAUAAGCUGCUAUAAAUGUUCAUAAAGGGCUUAUGUAGGUGUCAUUUUGGAACAAGAGAUGUUAUUAAAUGUUUAUGAAGGGCUUAUGUAGGUGUCGUGUUGGAACAAGAGAUGUUAUUAAAUGUUUAUGAAGGGCUUAUGUAGGUGUCAUGUUGGAACAAGAGAUGUUAUUAAAUGUUUAUAAAAUGCAUAGGUAGUCAUGUUGGAACAAGAGAUAUUAAAUGUUUAUAAAGGGCUUAUGUAGUGUCAUGUUGGAACAAGAGAUGUUAUUAAAUGUUUAUCAAACGCAUAUGUAGUCAUGCUGGAACAAGAGAUGUUAUUAAAAGUUUAUAAAGGGCUUAUGUAGGUGUCGUGUUGGAACAAGAGAUGUUAUCAAAUGUUUAUAAAGGGCUUAUGUAGUGUCAUGUUGGAAGAAGAGAUGUUAUUAAAUGUUCAUAAAGGGCUUAUGUAGUGUCAUGUUGGAACAAGAGAUGUUAUCAAAUGUUUAUAAAGGGCUUAUGUAGUUGUCAUGUUGGAACAAGAGAUGUUAUCAAAUGUUUAUAAAGGGCUUAUGUAGUGUCAUGUUGCAACAAGAGAUGUUAUUAAAUGUUUAUAAAGGGCUUAUGUAGUGUCAUGUUGCAACAAGAGAUGUUAUCAAAUGUUUAUAAAGGGCUUAUGUAGGUGUCAAGUUGGAACAAGAGAUGUUAACAAAUGUUUAUAAAGGGCUUAUGUAGUGUCAUGUUGCAAAAAGAGAUGUUAUUAAAUGUUUAUAAAGGGCUUAUGUAGGUGUCAUGUUGGAACAAGAGAUGUUAUUAAAUGUUUAUAAAGGGCUUAUGUAGUGUCAUGUUGCAACAAGAGAUGUUAUCAAAUGUUUAUAAAGGGCUUAUGUAG